UACGUAGGUGACAAGCGUUGUCCGGAUUUACUGGGCGUAAAGAGCGCGCAGGCGGUCGAUCAAGUCGAGUGUGAAAGCCCCCGGCUCAACUGGGGAGGGUCACGCGAUACUGAUCGACUGGAAGGCAGGAGAGGGUAGUGGAAUUCCCGGUGUAGUGGUGAAAUGCGUAGAUAUCGGGAGGAACACCAGUGGCGAAGGCGACUACCUGGCUGUUCUUGACGCUGAGGCGCGAAAGCUAGGGAGCAAACAGGG
rnacentral:rRNA from 1 species